UACGUAGGUGGCGAGCGUUGUCCGGAUUUACUGGGCGUAAAGGGCGCGUAGGCGGCGCUGUAAGUCACUUGUGAAAUCUCCGGGCUUAACUCGGAACGGUCAAGUGAUACUGCAGUGCUAGAGUGCAGAAAGGGCAAUCGGAAUUCUUGGUGUAGCGGUGAAAUGCGUAGGUAUCAAGAGGAACACCUGAGGCGAAGGCGGGUUGCUAGGCUGACACUGACGCUGACAGCGCGAAAGCCAGGGGAGCAAACGGG
rnacentral:rRNA from 1 species